CACAUGGUCAUUGUUAUUAUGUCAUAGUUCAUUAUCUCUGUAACCAAAAUCCAUGUGUUGUAUACUCCUGGUCUAUCAAGACAAGAUGCAACAGUUUUUGGAUUUGCUGUUUGAUUUCUAUUUGUUUAAUAAGAAACAAAGACUGAGAUAGCCGUUUCUCCACGAAAAAGGGGAUACCUGAACUGAGUUGCAUGAAAAGAACAGAAGAAAACAUGGGGUAAAAAAAAAAUCAGAAGCAAGCAACAUGGUUUGGGGUUAAAGUGGGUUCUGCGCAGAGAGUUCUUAAUAGGUUCCCUGUUGCUAAGGAAACUAUUUCCUUGGUAGCUGUAUGCUCGCCAUGUCUUGCUAAAUUGAUGUCAUAAAGUCGACAAAGAAGAAUGAAAAAUAUUCAAACUGUAUCUACAAAGUGCUCCAUGCAAGGAGAAGUCCUCUAGAGAGCUGUGCUCAAAUCAGCUGCCUUGGGAGAGAUCGCCAGCAAGGAAGCUUAAAAGGCAGGCAGACUGACAUGGAAAGGUGCAGUGCUGAAAAGGGCAUUUCUUGUAGGCUUCAGUGUGAUAUACUUCAGUAACCCAUGGGAAGCCUUUCACAGAUACUCUCACAGAGCUCUUGGGUUAGUGAUAGUGCAUAUACAGUUUGCUACUGCUCUCCCUCUUACUGGCCAAGAUAUCCCAGCACCUUUACUGCAAAUCUGGAAAGACCAGGUCAUAUCCCUAAAUGGUGAGCUUCUCUCUGUCCAUUUUAUCAUACCUAGGGAAGGACCAUAGUUCAGCAGAAGGGUCCCAGUUCAAUCCCAGUUAACUAAAGGGACCUUAUAGCAAGUCAUGAGCAUGGGGAAGGGGAAAGACUCUGAUAGACUGAAGUUCUACUAUUACAGGGAGACAGUACAGGGCUCUAGGGCAUUAAAUUUUGAAAUGGUAUGAACAAACUGUCCACCUGUUCUUUAAUACACAUCUCUGUGUGCAGAUGUUUUCAAACUUGAAUCUGUGGAACUGAAAAUACAAGACUUCAGGAAAGUCAUGGGGCCUUUAUAGACUUACUGAAGGGCCCCUGAAUGCAACAACAUUGACUUCAGAGUAAAAUAAUACAUAGUGCCACCUAAAACAGUGGCUUUCAAAUAGAUUGCCAGUGAAUUGUUUUAGUAUCUCUGAAUAUAAACUUCUUCAGUCCGUCUCUUUUAAUCCCAUUAAAGAUGGCCUUGGAAUAUUGAAAGGCGUGUUUUCUAAAUAUAAUAGACAACAUUUCCUAGCAUCCAGACAUGGGUCUCUCACAUAGGAUUUCUACAACUCCCCCUCGCCCUGAAAAAAAAGGAUUGAAUUACCGUAUUUUUCGCUCCAUAAGACGCACCUUUCCAUAAGACGCACCAAUUUUUUAGGAGAAGAAAACAGGAAAAUAUAAUCUGUUUUCUUCGCUCCAUAAGACGCACAGACUUUCCACCCUCCUGUUUUGUGGGAAAAAAGUGCGUCUUAUGGUGCUGGCUUCAAAUCUUUCCGGGAACAGAACUACACACUUGUGCAUAACUUUAGACUCCUAUAGGCAUUGAAGAAACAUCCCUGAUCUGCCAGUCUUGUAGUCUAAUUGGCAGCAGUGGAGGAGAUAACAAAAGGAAGGAGGAAAUGAAGAAAUAAAGGUUUCUUUUAGGAAUGACUGUGAGCA
rnacentral:lncRNA from 1 species